GUUGUUUAGUACCCCCAUGCCAGCCCAGCCCGGAUAAAGUUGAUUUUAUGAUCAUAAAGCAUUGCAGCAGUGACUGUGCAUUGGCAGUUAAUUUAUAUAUAUAUAUAUAUAUAUAUAUUACACUGUGCAAUGUAUCCUUUAUAUUAAGACGGUGGAUUGUAAUUUGAGUGAGAAUUGACUAUGUCUAGCAGGCCAAGAGACUAUACAAUGGUUCUCUUAUUUCACGAUGGGCGUAAUGAUUAAUGUUGGAAAUGGCACCAAUCAUACCAUGGAUUUUUUUUUCAUUACAGUUUCCAUAAAAAAGUUAUACAUGUUCCACCUAAAAUGAAACUUU